rnacentral:rRNA from 1 species
UACGUAGGGUGCGAGCGUUGUCCGGAAUUACUGGGCGUAAAGAGCUCGUAGGUGGUUUGUCGCGUUGUCCGUGAAAACUCACAGCUUAACUGUGGGCGUGCGGGCGAUACGGGCAGACUGGAGUACUGCAGGGGAGACUGGAAUUCCUGGUGUAGCGGUGGAAUGCGCAGAUAUCAGGAGGAACACCGGUGGCGAAGGCGGGUCUCUGGGCCGAUAUUGACGCUGAGGAGCGAAAGCGUGGGGAGCGAACAGG